rnacentral:tRNA from 1 species
GGUGAGGUGGCCGAGAGGCUUAAGGCGCUCCCCUGCUAAGGGAGUAUACGGUCCAUAGCUGUAUCGAGGGUUCGAAUCCCUCCCUCACCG